ACGGAGGGUGCAAGCGUUAUUCGGAAUUACUGGGCGUAAAGCGCGUGUAGGCGGCCCUGCAAGUCUGAUGUGAAAGCCCCGGGCUUAACCCGGGAAGUGCAUUGGAAACUGCAGGUCUUGAGUACUGGAGAGGAUGGGGGAAUUCCCGGUGGAGCAGUGUUGUUGGUGUAGAGCGGGAGGAAUAGGAGUAGCAGAGGGGCCAAUCUUGACGGAAACUCCCGCUAGGCUGUCAAAUUGUAAGCAAGGUGGAG
rnacentral:rRNA from 1 species